rnacentral:tRNA from 1 species
GUUCCUGUAGUUGAGUCAACGGUGGCUUUUCAAGCCAUAGAUCUUGGAGAGAGGCCAAGUAGGAACU